GAUGAAGAACGUAGCGAAAUGCGAUACGUAAUGUGAAUUGCAGAAUUCAGUGAAUCAUCGAAUCUUUGAACGCAUAUUGCGCUCUCUGGUAUUCCGGAGAGCAUGCUUGUUUGAGUAUCAGUAAACACCUCAACUUCCAUAUCUUUUUUGAAAUGGGAGUUGGACUUGAGUGAUCCCAACGCUUUUCCUCACCGAAAAGUGGCGGGUUACUUGAAAUGCAGGUGCAGCUGGACUUUUCUCUGGGCUAUAAGCAUAUCUAUUUAGUCUGCCUAAAAAACAGAUUAUUACCUUUGCUGCAGCUAACAUAAAGGAGAUUAGUUCUUGUGCUGACUGAUGCAGGAUUCACAAAGACAGGCUUCGGCCGACUUUGUAAACUCGAUCUCAAAUCAAGUAAGACUACCCGCUGAACUUAAGCAUAUCAAUAAGCGGAGGA
rnacentral:misc_RNA from 1 species